rnacentral:lncRNA from 1 species
CUUUGUGGCAUGGUUUUUUAAGGUUAUGAUUUUGCGUACCAAAUCAAUUUUAUUUUUAUUGUUUUGACGAGAAUCUUAUUUUGUGUUAUUUUUAAUAAGUUUGUUACAGCUUUCUAGACAUCAUAGCCAACAUUAUAGAUGGCGAUCUUUAUAAAAAAUUGAAUAUGCAUCACGAAAAUCAUCAUUGAUUCAUAUAUGGAAUUUCUGAAUGAGUCGCCUACUUGAUUUGAAUAUAAUAAGGAACUGCUUGAUUAGAUUGAAGUAGAAAGCGUAUCAACUCGUCGUAAUAUGUUCUUCAGAAGAACAACAGUUCAAACAGAUGGUAAACAAAUUAUGCUUUUCAAAGCUAGUGUACGUCCUUGGAAGACUUGAUAGACCUACUACUGCUUUCGGUUUGGAAUGCGGUACCCCCAUCAAAAGCAUUGACAGACAUUGUCAAGAGUAUCGGAUGGAAAUUUGAACUACAUUCAAAUAGAGCUGAUCAACUAGCUGGAAGGAGAUGUCAUGGUUGUUCUACUCCAUCAAGAAAAUUUUAUAAUAAAUAAGGUUUGUUUGCAAAUAAAACUUUGACAAUGUAUUCUAGAGCACCCAAACCCAAAUUUUACUGAUAUUUAUUUUGUUUCGUGUGUAGGUGAAGUGAAAAACUUAUUCUUUC